GACGAACGCUGGCGGCGUGCUUAACACAUGCAAGUCGAACGGAAAGGCCCUGCUUUUGUGGGGUGCUCGAGUGGCGAACGGGUGAGUAACACGUGAGUAACCUGCCCUUGACUUUGGGAUAACUUCAGGAAACUGGGGCUAAUACCGGAUAGGAGCUCCUGCUGCAUGGUGGGGGUUGGAAAGUUUCGGCGGUUGGGGAUGGACUCGCGGCUUAUCAGCUUGUUGGUGGGGUAGUGGCUUACCAAGGCUUUGACGGGUAGCCGGCCUGAGAGGGUGACCGGCCACAUUGGGACUGAGAUACGGCCCAGACUCCUACGGGAGGCAGCAGUGGGGAAUAUUGCACAAUGGGCGGAAGCCUGAUGCAGCAACGCCGCGUGCGGGAUGACGGCCUUCGGGUUGUAAACCGCUUUCGCCUGUGACGAAGCGUGAGUGACGGUAAUGGGUAAAGAAGCACCGGCUAACUACGUGCCAGCAGCCGCGGUGAUACGUAGGGUGCGAGCGUUGUCCGGAUUUAUUGGGCGUAAAGGGCUCGUAGGUGGUUGAUCGCGUCGGAAGUGUAAUCUUGGGGCUUAACCCUGAGCGUGCUUUCGAUACGGGUUGACUUGAGGAAGGUAGGGGAGAAUGGAAUUCCUGGUGGAGCGGUGGAAUGCGCAGAUAUCAGGAGGAACACCAGUGGCGAAGGCGGUUCUCUGGGCCUUUCCUGACGCUGAGGAGCGAAAGCGUGGGGAGCGAACAGGCUUAGAUACCCUGGUAGUCCACGCUGUAAACGGUGGGUACUAGGUGUGGGGUCCAUUCCACGGGUUCCGUGCCGUAGCUAACGCUAUAAGUACCCCGCCUGGGGAGUACGGCCGCAAGGCUAAAACUCAAAGGAAUUGACGGGGCCCCGCACAAGCGGCGGAGCAUGCGGAUUAAUUCGAUGCAACGCGUAGAACCUUACCUGGGUUUGACAUGGAUCGGGAGCGCUCAGAGAUGGGUGUGCCUCUUUUGGGGUCGGUUCACAGGUGGUGCAUGGCUGUCGUCAGCUCGUGUCGUGAGAUGUUGGGUUAAGUCCCGCAACGAGCGCAACCCUUGUUCACUGUUGCCAGCACGUUAUGGUGGGGACUCAGUGGAGACCGCCGGGGUCAACUCGGAGGAAGGUGGGGAUGACGUCAAGUCAUCACGCCCCUUAUGUCCAGGGCUUCACGCAUGCUACAAUGGCUGGUACAGAGAGUGGCGAGCCUGUGAGGGUGAGCGAAUCUCGGAAAGCCGGUCUCAGUUCGGAUUGGGGUCUGCAACUCGACCUCAUGAAGUCGGAGUCGCUAGUAAUCGCAGAUCAGCAACGCUGCGGUGAAUACGUUCCCGGG
rnacentral:rRNA from 1 species